CUAAUAUCAACAGUCACAAGAUCCAAUUUUUGGAUCUAGAGAUUAUACUUGAGCAAGGAAAAAUCGAAUACCAACUAUACACAAAACCAACGGACCGUAACACCUUACUCCAUUAUGAGAGUGCGCACCCCAAACAUGUGAGGGACUCUUUACCUUACUCACAAUUUUUGAGAGUAAUUCGAAACAACUUAAGGGAAGUCCAGUGUGAAGUACAGUUACAUGAAAUGUAU